rnacentral:rRNA from 1 species
UGGGGAAUAUUGGACAAUGGGCGCAAGCCUGAUCCAGCAAUGCCGCGUGUGUGAAGAAGGCCUUCGGGUUGUAAAGCACUUUUAUCAGGAGCGAAACGCUGUCGGCUAAUACCCGGCGGAACUGACGGUACCUGAGGAAUAAGCACCGGCUAACUUCGUGCCAGCAGCCGCGGUAAUACGAAGGGUGCAAGCGUUAAUCGGAAUUACUGGGCGUAAAGCGUGCGUAGGCGGUUUCUUAAGUCUGCUGUGAAAUCCCCGGGCUCAACCUGGGAAUGGCAGUGGAUACUGGGAGGCUAGAGUGUGUCAGAGGGUGGUGGAAUUCCCGGUGUAGCGGUGAAAUGCAUAGAGAUCGGGAGGAACAUCAGUGGCGAAGGCGGCCACCUGGGACAACACUGACGCUGAGGCACGAAAGCGUGGGGAGCAAACAGGAUUAGAUACCCUGGUAGUCCACGCCCUAAACGAUGCGAACUGGAUGUUGGUCUCAACUCGGAGAUCAGUGUCGAAGCUAACGCGUUAAGUUCGCCGCCUGGGGGGUACGGUCGCAAGACUGGAAACUUAAAUGAAUUGACGGGGUCAUAGCUGUUUCCUG